rnacentral:rRNA from 1 species
CCUACGUGAGGCAGCAGUGGGGAAUAUUGCACAAUGGGGGAAACCCUGAUGCAGCGACGCCGCGUGAGUGAAGAAGUAAUUCGUUAUGUAACGCUCUAUCAGCAGGGAAGAAAAUGACGGUACCUGAGUAAGAAGCCCCGGCUAACUACGUGCCAGUAGCCGCGGUAAUCCGUAGGGGGCAAGCGUUAUCCGGCUUUACUGGGUGUAAAGGGAGCGUAGACGGCAGUGCAAGUCUGGAGUGAAAGGCGGGGGCUCAACCCCCGGACUGCUCUGGAAACUGUACGGCUGGAGUGCGGGAGAGGUAAGUGGAAUUCCUAGUGUAGCGGUGAAAUGCGUAGAUAUUAGGAGGAACACCAGUGGCGAAGGCGGCUUACUGGACUGUAACUGACGUUGAGGCUCGAAAGCGUGGGGAGCAAACAGGAUUAGAUACCCCAGUAGUC